AAGGAUGUUCAACGGGAUGUGCUGGCGGCCUAAACGCCGCAUGUGCACUCCCUUAACCAACCUCACACACCUGUGAACCUCGGACCUCGUCUGCCUCUGUUUGGAGGUGGGCUUGUGUUCUUACCAUACAAAACCCAGUCGAGUUAGCUCUGGAAUGCGUGUUGUAAUUAAAAA
rnacentral:misc_RNA from 1 species